AUUGAACGCUGGCGGCAGGCCUAACACAUGCAAGUCGAACGAGUGGCGGACGGGUGAGUAAUGUCUGGGAAACUGCCUGAUGGAGGGGGAUAACUACUGGAAACGGUAGCUAAUACCGCAUACCAUCGGAUGUGCCCAGAUGGGAUUAGCUAGUAGGGGGGGUAAAGGCUCACCUAGGCGACGAUCCCUAGCUGGUCUGAGGGGAUGACCAGCAACACUGGACCUGGGACACGGUCCAGACCCCUAGGGGGGGCAGCAGUGGGGAAUAUUGCACAAGGGGCGCAAGCCUAAGGCAGCCAUGCGGGGUGUAGGAAGAAGGCCUUCGGGUGGUAAAGUACUUUCAGCGGGGAGGCGUUACCCGCAGAAGAAGCACCGGCUAACUCCGGGCCAGCAGCCGCGGUAAUU
rnacentral:rRNA from 1 species